rnacentral:misc_RNA from 1 species
GCCGGAUUUCCGAACGAUUUUGUUCUCCACUCCCGGAAAAUUAUGUUUCCUUAUUUUCUUUGGCGGAAAAUUACAGGUGGUGGGAGAAUCGUAGGUGCGGUGGAGAUGGAUAAAGCAGAAGAAAAGAGGGGUCCGGUGAGAAUAGUGGGGAUUGUUGGAGAGGGUAGUGUUAGCCCUCUCAAAUCUACUCCUUGGUUUGACGUCAUGCUUCACACUGUGAGUAUUUUGCAACUCUGACUACUUUCUUCAACUCGAAAAUUAUAUACAGAGUUAAGCA